CUGACGAGUGGCGCGACGGGUGAGUAAUGUCUGGGAAACUGCCUGAUGGAGGGGGAUAACUACUGGAAACGGUAGCUAAUACCGCAUAACGUCGCAAGACCAAAGAGGGGGACCUUCGGGCCUCUUGCCAUCGGAUGUGCCCAGAUGGGAUUAGCUAGUAGGUGGGGUAACGGCUCACCUAGGCGACGAUCCCUAGCUGGUCUGAGAGGAUGACCAGCCACACUGGAACUGAGACACGGUCCAGACUCCUACGGGAGGCAGCAGUGGGGAAUAUUGCACAAUGGGCGCAAGCCUGAUGCAGCCAUGCCGCGUGUAUGAAGAAGGCCUUCGGGUUGUAAAGUACUUUCAGCGGGGAGGAAGGGAGUAAAGUUAAUACCUUUGCUCAUUGACGUUACCCGCAGAAGAAGCACCGGCUAACUCCGUGCCAGCAGCCGCGGUAAUACGGAGGGUGCAAGCGUUAAUCGGAAUUACUGGGCGUAAAGCGCACGCAGGCGGUUUGUUAAGUCAGAUGUGAAAUCCCCGGGCUCAACCUGGGAACUGCAUCUGAUAC
rnacentral:rRNA from 1 species